rnacentral:rRNA from 1 species
UUAAGCGACUAAGCGUACACGGUGGAUGCCCUGGCAGUCAGAGGCGAUGAAGGACGUGCUAAUCUGCGAUAAGCGUCGGUAAGGUGAUAUGAACCGUUAUAACCGGCGAUUUCCGAAUGGGGAAACCCAGUGUGUUUCGACACACUAUCAUUAACUGAAUCCAUAGGUUAAUGAGGCGAACCGGGGGAACUGAAACAUCUAAGUACCCCGAGGAAAAGAAAUCAACCGAGAUUCCCCCAGUAGCGGCGAGCGAACGGGGAGCAGCCCAGAGCCUGAAUCAGUGUGUGUGUUAGUGGAAGCGUCUGGAAAGGCGCGCGAUACAGGGUGACAGCCCCGUACACAAAAAUGCACAUGCUGUGAGCUCGAUGAGUAGGGCGGGACACGUGGUAUCCUGUCUGAAUAUGGGGGGACCAUCCUCCAAGGCUAAAUACUCCUGACUGACCGAUAGUGAACCAGUACCGUGAGGGAAAGGCGAAAAGAACCCCGGCGAGGGGAGUGAAAAAGAACCUGAAACCGUGUACGUACAAGCAGUGGGAGCACGCUUAGGCGUGUGACUGCGUACCUUUUGUAUAAUGGGUCAGCGACUUAUAUUCUGUAGCAAGGUUAACCGAAUAGGGGAGCCGAAGGGAAACCGAGUCUUAACUGGGCGUUAAGUUGCAGGGUAUAGACCCGAAACCCGGUGAUCUAGCCAUGGGCAGGUUGAAGGUUGGGUAACACUAACUGGAGGACCGAACCGACUAAUGUUGAAAAAUUAGCGGAUGACUUGUGGCUGGGGGUGAAAGGCCAAUCAAACCGGGAGAUAGCUGGUUCUCCCCGAAAGCUAUUUAGGUAGCGCCUCGUGAAUUCAUCUCCGGGGGUAGAGCACUGUUUCGGCAAGGGGGUCAUCCCGACUUACCAACCCGAUGCAAACUGCGAAUACCGGAGAAUGUUAUCACGGGAGACACACGGCGGGUGCUAACGUCCGUCGUGAAGAGGGAAACAACCCAGACCGCCAGCUAAGGUCCCAAAGUCAUGGUUAAGUGGGAAACGAUGUGGGAAGGCCCAGACAGCCAGGAUGUUGGCUUAGAAGCAGCCAUCAUUUAAAGAAAGCGUAAUAGCUCACUGGUCGAGUCGGCCUGCGCGGAAGAUGUAACGGGGCUAAACCAUGCACCGAAGCUGCGGCAGCGACGCUUAUGCGUUGUUGGGUAGGGGAGCGUUCUGUAAGCCUGUGAAGGUGUGCUGUGAGGCAUGCUGGAGGUAUCAGAAGUGCGAAUGCUGACAUAAGUAACGAUAAAGCGGGUGAAAAGCCCGCUCGCCGGAAGACCAAGGGUUCCUGUCCAACGUUAAUCGGGGCAGGGUGAGUCGACCCCUAAGGCGAGGCCGAAAGGCGUAGUCGAUGGGAAACAGGUUAAUAUUCCUGUACUUGGUGUUACUGCGAAGGGGGGACGGAGAAGGCUAUGUUGGCCGGGCGACGGUUGUCCCGGUUUAAGCGUGUAGGCUGGUUUUCCAGGCAAAUCCGGAAAAUCAAGGCUGAGGCGUGAUGACGAGGCACUACGGUGCUGAAGCAACAAAUGCCCUGCUUCCAGGAAAAGCCUCUAAGCAUCAGGUAACAUCAAAUCGUACCCCAAACCGACACAGGUGGUCAGGUAGAGAAUACCAAGGCGCUUGAGAGAACUCGGGUGAAGGAACUAGGCAAAAUGGUGCCGUAACUUCGGGAGAAGGCACGCUGAUAUGUAGGUGAGGUCCCUCGCGGAUGGAGCUGAAAUCAGUCGAAGAUACCAGCUGGCUGCAACUGUUUAUUAAAAACACAGCACUGUGCAAACACGAAAGUGGACGUAUACGGUGUGACGCCUGCCCGGUGCCGGAAGGUUAAUUGAUGGGGUUAGCGCAAGCGAAGCUCUUGAUCGAAGCCCCGGUAAACGGCGGCCGUAACUAUAACGGUCCUAAGGUAGCGAAAUUCCUUGUCGGGUAAGUUCCGACCUGCACGAAUGGCGUAAUGAUGGCCAGGCUGUCUCCACCCGAGACUCAGUGAAAUUGAACUCGCUGUGAAGAUGCAGUGUACCCGCGGCAAGACGGAAAGACCCCGUGAACCUUUACUAUAGCUUGACACUGAACAUUGAGCCUUGAUGUGUAGGAUAGGUGGGAGGCUUAGAAGUGUGGACGCCAGUCUGCAUGGAGCCGACCUUGAAAUACCACCCUUUAAUGUUUGAUGUUCUAACGUUGACCCGUAAUCCGGGUUGCGGACAGUGUCUGGUGGGUAGUUUGACUGGGGCGGUCUCCUCCUAAAGAGUAACGGAGGAGCACGAAGGUUGGCUAAUCCUGGUCGGACAUCAGGAGGUUAGUGCAAUGGCAUAAGCCAGCUUGACUGCGAGCGUGACGGCGCGAGCAGGUGCGAAAGCAGGUCAUAGUGAUCCGGUGGUUCUGAAUGGAAGGGCCAUCGCUCAACGGAUAAAAGGUACUCCGGGGAUAACAGGCUGAUACCGCCCAAGAGUUCAUAUCGACGGCGGUGUUUGGCACCUCGAUGUCGGCUCAUCACAUCCUGGGGCUGAAGUAGGUCCCAAGGGUAUGGCUGUUCGCCAUUUAAAGUGGUACGCGAGCUGGGUUUAGAACGUCGUGAGACAGUUCGGUCCCUAUCUGCCGUGGGCGCUGGAGAACUGAGGGGGGCUGCUCCUAGUACGAGAGGACCGGAGUGGACGCAUCACUGGUGUUCGGGUUGUCAUGCCAAUGGCACUGCCCGGUAGCUAAAUGCGGAAGAGAUAAGUGCUGAAAGCAUCUAAGCACGAAACUUGCCCCGAGAUGAGUUCUCCCUGACUCCUUGAGAGUCCUGAAGGAACGUUGAAGACGACGACGUUGAUAGGCCGGGUGUGUAAGCGCAGCGAUGCGUUGAGCUAACCGGUACUAAUGAACCGUGAGGCUUAACCU